rnacentral:rRNA from 1 species
AGCGAACGCUGGCGGCAGGCUUAACACAUGCAAGUCGAGCGGGCACGUCGGGGUCAGCGGCUGACGGGGGAGUGACACGUGGGAACGUACCCUUUGGUUCGGAAUAACGCUGGGAAACUAGCGCUAAUACCGGAUACGCCCUUCUGGGGGAAGGCUUGCUGCCGAAGGAUCGGCCCGCGUCUGAUUAGCUAGUGGGGGGGGUAAUGGCCUACCACGGCGUCGUGCAGUAGCUGGGCGGAGAGGAGGACAAGACACACUGGGACUGAGACACGGCCUCGAAUCGGACGGGAGGGAGGAGUGGGGAAUAUUGGAGGAGGGGCGCAAGUGUGAUCAAGCCGUGCCGGGUGAGUGGUGCAGGCGGUAGUGUUGUAAAGCUCUUUUGUCCGGGACGAUAAUGACGGUACCGGAAGAAUAAGCCCCGGCUAACUUCGAG